GGUGGGAUGGCCGAGUGGUCCAAGGCGACAGAUUUAAGCUUACAUAAGCUCUGUUACUCGUGAGAGUGCGCGGGUUCGAACCCCGCUCCCAUCA
rfam:Colletotrichum sublineola strain TX430BB Scaffolds1259.1, whole genome shotgun sequence.